GCCUGCCUGCGGUCCGCGUCGGGGUGGGGGCUGUGAGAAAGGCCGGAGUCUCACAGAAGGAGGAUAAGGAUGCUGGCUCUAGAGCACGGGGCGGCGGGGAGGAAAGCAGCUGACAGUUGCACGCACAGCUGACGCUCUGGACACUGCACUGCACGGCCCCGAAGCAAGGACACCUCGGCAGCAACAAGCACACCAUGCACAGAAUCUUGGUUCCUCUCUACCACUUCCCACCGAGAGGACUGAGGCUCCUGGAAGAGAGAGAACCAAUUCCAGGACUCUGCCCAAGAUCUGGACCCAGAGACCGCGUCCUCUCCUCGAGAACUGCAUCAGGGCCAGCGCAACACUGUCAACACCAAAUGGAUUCCCAAAGAUGGGAUGCGUCUUCUGUCCAGGAAACUUGCCACACCAAACACAGCCCUGGGCCUGGGACCCACAACAGAGGUCAGACCCCCAUAGAACGUGAUUUCCAGAGAAGACACAGCAAGCUGAGAAAUGAAACAGGAAACAAGAACCAUUUUAAAAGCUCCUGUAUUGAAGGGGUAAGGGAACAAAACGACCAGAGCCAAGGAGGCACAGAGCCAUGAUCUCUGACUGGAGGGGACGAGGCUGGGAGAUGGCACCCACUUCACAUUGACUGGGACAGCCAUGGUCAAAAAGAUGAGCCAAAACAAAAACAAGUGCUGGCAAGGAUGUGGAGAAGCUGAAACCCUCACGCGUUGCUGGCGGAAAUGCAAAAUGACGUGGCUACUGUGGAAAACGGUUUGGUGGUUCCUCAGAAAGUUAAAGAAAGAAUUACCACAUGACUCAGCGAUUUACUCCUGGGUGUACACUCCAAAGACUGAAAAGAGACACUCAAACAGAUGCCUGUACACAAACAUUCAGAGCAGCACUAUUCACAACAGUCACAAGAUGGAAAAAACUCACAUGUUCAUCAGCAGAUGAAUAAACAAAAUGUGGUCUAUGCAUACGAGGGAAGAUUACUCAGCCAGAAAAAGAAAUGAGGCUCUGCCACAGGCCAUCGCGCAGAUGAACCUUGAGAACGUUACACAGAGUGAGAUGCGCCAGGCACAAAAUGACCAAUCAGUCUACUUACAUGAAACACCUACUUCAGGCAAAUUCAUGGAGACAAAAAAAGGAAAGGAGAGUUACUGCUUAAUAGGUACAGAGUUUCUGCUUGGGGUGGCGAGAAUGUUUUACAAACAGGCAAUGAUGAUGGUCACACAACACCGUAAACAUACUUAUGCCACCAAAAGUAGGCUUAAAAAUGGCUGAGGGGCACCUGGGUAGCUCAGCCGGUUAAGCUUCUGCUCUUGAUUUCGGCUCAGGUCCUGAUCUCAAGGUUAGUGAGUCUGAGCCCCGAACUGGAAUUCUCUCUCCCCCUCUCUCUGCCCCUCCGCUGCUCACGCAUGCUCUCUCUCCCUCAAGAAUAAAUAAACUUUAAAAAAUGGCUGAAACAAUAA